rnacentral:lncRNA from 1 species
UUGGGGAAUUUGGGGUCAUUUUGGGGGUAUUUGGGAUCAUUUUGGGGAAUUUUGGGGAUUUUGGGUCAUUUUUGGUGGAUUUUGUGUCAAUUUGGGGGUUUUGGGUCAUUUUUGUGGGAUUUGGGGUCAAUUUUAUGAGAUUUUGUGUCAUUUUGGUGCGAAUUUUGGUGAUUUUGGGUCAUUUUGUGGGAUUUUGGCUCAAUUUUAUGGGAUUUUGGGUCAUUUUUUUGGGAUUUUGUGGGAUUUUGUGGGAUUUGGGGCCAUUUUGUGGGAUUUGGGGUCAAUUUUGUGGGAUUUGGGGUCAAUUAUAUGAGAUUUACUGUCAUUUUGGUGAGAAGUUUUGUGAUUUUGGGUCCUGUUUGUGGGAUUUUGGGUCCUGUUUGUGGGAUUUUGUGUCAUUUUGUGGGAUUUUGGGUCAUUUUGGGGGGAUUUGGGCUCUUUUUGGAGAGAAGUCGAGUCUUUUGGAAUCUUUGGGGGUCUUUCUGGGUUAUUUUUAUGGGAUUUUGUGUCAUUUUGGGUCGUUAUCAUUGGAUUUGGGGUCGUUCUCAUGUUUUUUUGUGUCAUUUUUAUGGGAUUUGGUCUCAUUUUUCUGUGAUUUUGGGUCAUUUUUAUGGGGUUCAGGCUCAUUUUUUCGGGAUUUUGGGUCACUUUUGUGGGAUUUUUUUGUCAUUUUUGUGGGAUUUUUUUGUCAUUUUUGUGGGAUUUUUUGUCAUUUUUGUGGGAUUUUUUGUCAUUUUUGUGGGAUUUUUUGUCAUUUUUGUGGGAUUUGGGGUCAAUUUUAUGAGAUUUACUGUCAUUUUGGUGAGAAGUUUUGUGAUUUUGGGUCAUUUUUUGGGAUUUUGGGUCAAUUUUAUGAGAUUUUGGAUCAUUUUGGGGCGAAGUUUUGUGAUUAUGGGUCAUUU